CAGCAUUCACUCCAGGUGCUUUGAUGGGACCGCAUAUGAAAAUCACUGCUAAUUAAAAUCUGUUAAAGUCUCAGAUUAAAAGACUGAUGGAAAAGGUGAUGGAACUUCAGCAAGAAUUGAGCAAACUGGCAGACUUUCAAGCAACUAAACUGUGAAUGAGAGAAACAUCCGUAAGCUCGAUCCAUGAAGGAAAAAGACUACAAUCGGGUUCUAAAUAUAACUGAGGGAAAUUCCAGGUUUUGUGGUGAUUUAUAUUUUAUUUACUUAUUUACUCAGCAAUCUUUCUCUUCCAGAGCAGUUAGGAAUUCUGUAGAGCUUUAUUAAA